UGGCUCAGUUGGUAGAGCGUGGUGUGUGCAACGCCAGGGUUGUGGGUUCGAUUCCCAC
rnacentral:tRNA from 1 species